rnacentral:rRNA from 1 species
UGACGUUGGGAAAGCGAGCGGCGGAUGGGUGAGUAACACGUGGGGAACCUGCCCCUAAGUCUGGGAUACCAUUUGGAAACAGGUGCUAAUACCGGAUAAUAAAGCAGAUCGCAUGAUCAGCUUUUGAAAGGCGGCGUAAGCUGUCGCUAAGGGAUGGCCCCGCGGUGCAUUAGCUAGUUGGUAAGGUAACGGCUUACCAAGGCGACGAUGCAUAGCCGAGUUGAGAGACUGAUCGGCCACAUUGGGACUGAGACACGGCCCAAACUCCUACGGGAGGCAGCAGUAGGGAAUCUUCCACAAUGGACGCAAGUCUGAUGGAGCAACGCCGCGUGAGUGAAGAAGGUUUUCGGAUCGUAAAGCUCUGUUGUUGGUGAAGAAGGAUAGAGGUAGUAACUGGCCUUUAUUUGACGGUAAUCAACCAGAAAGUCACGGCUAACUACGUGCCAGCAGCCGCGGUAAUACGUAGGUGGCAAGCGUUGUCCGGAUUUAUUGGGCGUAAAGCGAGCGCAGGCGGAAAAAUAAGUCUAAUGUGAAAGCCCUCGGCUUAACCGAGGAACUGCAUCGGAAACUGUUUUUCUUGAGUGCAGAAGAGGAGAGUGGAACUCCAUGUGUAGCGGUGGAAUGCGUAGAUAUAUGGAAGAACACCAGUGGCGAAGGCGGCUCUCUGGUCUGCAACUGACGCUGAGGCUCGAAAGCAUGGGUAGCGAACAGGAUUAGAUACCCUGGUAGUCCAUGCCGUAACGAUGAGUGCUAAGUGUUGGGA